AAAUCUCCAUGGUUAUUUGUCUUGCUUUGUCGCCUAGGCUAGAGUGCAGUGGUAGGAUCUCGGCUCACUGCAGCAUUGACCUCCUGGGCUCAAGCUAUCCUCCCACCUCAGCCUUCUGAGUAGCUGGGACCGCAGAGGUGCAUCACCAUACUCGGCUAAGUUUUAUGUAAUUCACUGAAACACGACUGAUAGACCCCGAAGAAGAAAAGGGCCGAAUAUUAUUUGGGUCAAGAAUACUUUACUCUCAGGAAGCAAAAACAUUCUGAAAGGUUCCAAAUGAAAGAAGACAUCUGAUGGGCAAUGUGUAAAUCACUGGACUAAUCUGAUUUUGUUAUGCACUUACACCUGUGAUUCCGGAUGUCAAAUUUCGCAAGUCCUUUAUCCCUUGAAUUUUCCUAUAAAAUACCAUUGAAAGAGGGAAAGAAGAUGGCUAGUGGACACUUUUCUACACCAUCAAUGUAGAAGGUUGGCAACAAGGACUUACAACUUAUUUGUAAAAUUUUGUCCAAAACAGACAUAAUUAUAUUAUUUGCAAAUUUAAAGACUAAAUAUAAUUACAUACUUUUCACUUCACAUAAAAAAGUAAAUGCAUCCCUGUAACAACACAUAAUUACAAACUGUACAUCUUAAGAGUAGAUACUUUGCACUUUAAUGAAACAAUAUAAAGUAAUUUGAAUCAACACUGAGCAACCUCCAAGCCUGAUAUAUAUUUUCUAUAUUUUAAUCUAGAUAUUUUAACAUUAAUAUCUUUAAAAUUUCUAAGUGUAUAUUUUUUAAAUGUUUAAGAUAAGUCUUCCAUUUGUUGGCUCCUUGGAAGAAUAUAUUUAGAAGAACAGCUCCCUGCAGCAGGGAGACAGAUUUUUUUUCCUGUGUAUUAGUUAUUAGACUGUAAUGCAAUAAUGAGGGUCUAGGUUGAAGAUUGCUUUUUUAUUCCUUUAGCCUGCUGAGCAUGAAAAUGUCUUCAACGUUUCUCAGUAACAAUGUAAAUACAGCUUGUCUUGAUAGAGUUGGCACAUUAACCAUAUCUGGUCAUUUGGAGGCAACUGGCCACAUGAGCCCAGCAACCUUCCCUAAACAUUGUCCCAGGCAUCACGUUGUACUGAAAUAGGAGCUGAGAGAAGUACAUUUCAGGUGGCUUAUGUGCAGGAAAAAGCAGAUUCUGUCUGUUUCAGGAAGGUUCAAUUGAUUAUUCAUUUGAAAUAUCAAUUAUUACUCUGACAGUAUUUUCUUAACUAGUUUUUAUAUAAAAAUUUAGUCACUGUUAUCUGUGUAUUCAUUUUAUUAAAAAAACCCCAGUGCUUACAAUUCCUUGUUCAUAGUGAUAUAAAUGAUCAUGCUUUUUAAAUAAUAAAGGACAAAAUGAGCCUGCAUGCUAGUCAUCAUCAUAAUGCAUUACUAAAAAGAUGUACUCUCAAAAUGUCUUUUACUUAACCCUCCCAAUACCCAAAAUAUUGCUUAACAAUAGUGGCUUGCUAUUUUAAGAGAGUAAUCAGGAUUGAAAUAGUGUUAUAAUCAGCUAAUGGUGCUGAGAGUGGGUGAAGGAGGGAGGCCAAGCAGAGCCCCAGAUGUAGAUGAUGAGAAUCAGCUCUCUGCACAAGGG
rnacentral:lncRNA from 10 species